ACAGGCUUAACACAUGCAAGUCGAGGGGCAGCACGGGAGUAGUAAUACAACUGGUGGCGACCGGCGCACGGGUGAGUAACGCGUAUGCAACCUACCUAUCAGAGGGGAAUAACCCGGCGAAAGUCGGACUAAUACCGCAUAAAACAGGGGCACCGCAUGGUGAUAUUUGUUAAAGAAAUUCGCUGAUAGAUGGGCAUGCGUUCCAUUAGGUAGUUGGUGAGGUAACGGCUCACCAAGCCGACGAUGGAUAGGGGAACUGAGAGGUUGGUCCCCCACACUGGUACUGAGACACGGACCAGACUCCUACGGGAGGCAGCAGUGAGGAAUAUUGGUCAAUGGGCGAGAGCCUGAACCAGCCAAGUCGCGUGAAGGAAGAAGGAUCUAUGGUUCGUAAACUUCUUUUGCAGGGGAAUAAAGUGCAGGACGUGUCCUGUUUUGUAUGUACCCUGAGAAUAAGGAUCGGCUAACUCCGUGCCAGCAGCCGCGGUAAUACGGAGGAUCCGAGCGUUAUCCGGAUUUAUUGGGUUUAAAGGGUGCGUAGGUGGUUUUAUAAGUCAGCGGUGAAAGUUUGCAGCUUAACUGUAAAAUGCCGUUGAAACUGUAAGACUUGAGUGUAAAUGAGUAGGCGGAAUCGUGUGUACGUGAAAUGCAUAGAUAUCACGCAGACUCGAUUGCGAAGCAGCUACUAGCUACACUGACACUUGAGCACGAAAGCGUGGGGAUCAACAGGAUAGAUCCCUGUAGUCACGCA
rnacentral:rRNA from 1 species